CCUACGGGAGGCAGCAGUGAGGAAUAUUGGUCAAUGGACGGAAGUCUGAACCAGCCAAGCCGCGUGAAGGAUGACGGCGCUAUGAGUUGUAAACUUCUUUUGUCAAGGAGUAAACUUAGACACGUGUGCCUUGCUGAAUGUACUUUAUGAAUAAGGAUCGGCUAACUCCGUGCCAGCAGCCGCGGUAAUACGGAGGAUCCAAGCGUUAUCCGGAUUUAUUGGGUUUAAAGGGUGCGUAGGCGGGUUGUUAAGUUAGUUGUGAAAUGUCGGGGCUUAACCCGAGAAUUGCGAUUGAUACUGGUAGUCUUGAGAGUAGUUGAGGUAGGCGGAAUGCGUGGUGUAGCGGUGAAAUGCUUAGAUAUCACGAAGAACUCCGAUUGCGAAGGCAGCUUACCAAUCUACAUCUGACGUUGAGGCACGAAAGCGUGGGUAGCAAACAGGAUUAGAUACCCCUGUAGUC
rnacentral:rRNA from 1 species